CUUUGGGAUAACCCUCGGAAACGGGGGCUAAUACUGGAUAUGACCAUCGGGCGCAUGUUUGGUGGUGGAAAGUUUUUCGGCCUGGGAUGGGCUCGCGGCCUAUCAGCUUGUUGGUGGGGUGAUGGCCUACCAAGGCGACGACGGGUAGCCGGCCUGAGAGGGCGACCGGCCACACUGGGACUGAGACACGGCCCAGACUCCUACGGGAGGCAGCAGUGGGGAAUAUUGCACAAUGGGCGGAAGCCUGAUGCAGCGACGCCGCGUGAGGGAUGACGGCCUUCGGGUUGUAAACCUCUUUCAGCAGGGACGAAGCGCAAGUGACGGUACCUGCAGAAGAAGCGCCGGCCAACUACGUGCCAGCAGCCGCGGUAAGACGUAGGGCGCGAGCGUUGUCCGGAUUUAUUGGGCGUAAAGAGCUCGUAGGCGGCUUGUCGCGUCGACUGUGAAAACCCGUGGCUCAACUGCGGGCUUGCAGUCGAUACGGGCAGGCUAGAGUUCGGUAGGGGAGACUGGAAUUCCUGGUGUAGCGGUGAAAUGCGCAGAUAUCAGGAGGAACACCGGUGGCGAAGGCGGGUCUCUGGGCCGAUACUGACGCUGAGGAGCGAAAGCGUGGGGAGCGAACAGGAUUAGAUACCCUGGUAGUCCACGCUGUAAACGUUGGGCGC
rnacentral:rRNA from 1 species